rnacentral:rRNA from 1 species
GUUUUGUUCCGAAGCAAAGAUAUCCGCGAAGGCCGGUUCAUUCGUCCUAUUCUGAUAUUCAGGACCAAGAGGUACUGGAUUCUCUUUCGGAUAGACCCUGAAAGGAGAAGAAAGGCUGAAAUGCCAACGGACCUCUGUCUAUUCUCUAAUUCACCCGAUCCGAUAGUACCCGUUUUUGGAACGUCCAAUGCCAAAGUCACUGAAUGGGUAAGUCACCAAUCCAAUCCCGUUGACAAAUCGGAUGUCAUAUUAGAUAUCAUAUUCUAUAUAUAUAGAAAUAUCAUAGAUAGAAUAGACAUAUAG